GUAACGGAGGAGCACGAAGGUUAGCUAAUCCUGGUCGGACAUCAGGAGGUUAGUGCAAUGGCAUAAGCUAGCUUGACUGCGAGCGUGACGGCGCGAGCAGGUGCGAAAGCAGGUCAUAGUGAUCCGGUGGUUCUGAAUGGAAGGGCCAUCGCUCAACGGAUAAAAGGUACUCCGGGGAUAACAGGCUGAUACCGCCCAAGAGUUCAUAUCGACGGCGGUGUUUGGCACCUCGAUGUCGGCUCAUCACAUCCUGGGGCUGAAGUAGGUCCCAAGGGUAUGGCUGUUCGCCAUUUAAAGUGGUACGCGAGCUGGGUUUAGAACGUCGUGAGACAGUUCGGUCCCUAUCUGCCGUGGGCGCUGGAGAAUUGAGGGGGGCUGCUCCUAGUACGAGAGGACCGGAGUGGACGCAUCACUGGUGUU
rnacentral:rRNA from 1 species